GGGCCCAUAGCUCAGUCGGUUAGAGCACCUGACUCAUAANNUCAUAAUCAGGUGGUCCAAGGUUCGAGUCCUUGUGGGCCCACCA
rnacentral:tRNA from 1 species